rnacentral:rRNA from 1 species
UUAACACAUGCAAGUCGAGGGGCAGCAUGGUUUUAGCUUGCUAAGGCCGAUGGCGACCGGCGCACGGGUGAGUAACACGUAUCCAACCUGCCGUCUACUCUUGGACAGCCUUCUGAAAGGGAGAUUAAUACAAGAUGGCAUCAUGAGUCCACAUGUUCACAUGAUUAAAGGUAUUCCGGUAGACGAUGGGGAUGCGUUCCAUUAGAUAGUAGGCGGGGUAACGGCCCACCUAGUCUUCGAUGGAUAGGGGUUCUGAGAGGAAGGUCCCCCACAUUGGAACUGAGACACGGUCCAAACUCCUACGGGAGGCAGCAGUGAGGAAUAUUGGUCAAUGGGCGAGAGCCUGAACCAGCCAAGUAGCGUGAAGGAUGACUGCCCUAUGGGUUGUAAACUUCUUUUAUAAAGGAAUAAAGUCGGGUAUGCAUACCCGUUUGCAUGUACUUUAUGAAUAAGGAUCGGCUAACUCCGUGCCAGCAGCCGCGGUAAUACGGAGGAUCCGAGCGUUAUCCGGAUUUAUUGGGUUUAAAGGGAGCGUAGAUGGAUGUUUAAGUCAGUUGUGAAAGUUUGCGGCUCAACCGUAAAAUUGCAGUUGAUACUGGAUAUCUUGAGUGCAGUUGAGGCAGGCGGAAUUCGUGGUGUAGCGGUGAAAUGCUUAGAUAUCACGAAGAACUCCGAUUGCGAAGGCAGCCUGCUAAGCUGCAACUGACAUUGAGGCUCGAAAGUGUGGGUAUCAAACAGGAUUAGAUACCCUGGUAGUCCACACGGUAAACGAUGAAUACUCGCUGUUUGCGAUAUACAGCAAGCGGCCAAGCGAAAGCGUUAAGUAUUCCACCUGGGGAGUACGCCGGCAACGGUGAAACUCAAAGGAAUUGACGGGGGCCCGCACAAGCGGAGGAACAUGUGGUUUAAUUCGAUGAUACGCGAGGAACCUUACCCGGGCUUAAAUUGCAGAUGAAUUACGGUGAAAGCCGUAAGCCGCAAGGCAUCUGUGAAGGUGCUGCAUGGUUGUCGUCAGCUCGUGCCGUGAGGUGUCGGCUUAAGUGCCAUAACGAGCGCAACCCUUGUUGUCAGUUACUAACAGGUUCUGCUGAGGACUCUGACAAGACUGCCAUCGUAAGAUGUGAGGAAGGUGGGGAUGACGUCAAAUCAGCACGGCCCUUACGUCCGGGGCUACACACGUGUUACAAUGGGGGGUACAGAGGGCCGCUACCACGCGAGUGGAUGCCAAUCCCAAAAACCUCUCUCAGUUCGGACUGGAGUCUGCAACCCGACUCCACGAAGCUGGAUUCGCUAGUAAUCGCGCAUCAGCCACGGCGCGGUGAAUACGUUCCCGGGCCUUGUACACACCGCCCGUCAAGCCAUGGGAGCCGGGGGUACCUGAAGUGCGUAACCGCGAGGAGCGCCCUAGGGUAAAACUGGUGACUGGGGCUAAAUC